UACGUAGGGUGCAAGCGUUGUCCGGAAUCAUUGGGCGUAAAGAGCGUGUAGGCGGCCUGAUCAGUCCGCUGUAAAAGUCCAGGGCUCAACCCUGGAAGGCCGGUGGAUACUGUCAGGCUAGAGUCCGGAAGAGGCGAGUGGAAUUCCUGGUGUAGCGGUGAAAUGCGCAGAUAUCAGGAGGAACACCGGUGGCGAAGGCGGUCUGCUGGGCAGUUGCUGACACUGAGGCGCGACAGCGUGGGGAGCAAACAGG
rnacentral:rRNA from 1 species